GUGCAUUCAAGUGUGCGUGCGUUUGUGCGUUUGUGCACGUGUUUAGGGGUAUCCCUCUCUGUGCUCCAGUCCAGACAGAAGGGGUGAAAGCUGGAUGUGGGAUUUAAAGAUAAUCCACUCCCCAGAUGGCAAAACAUCACAUAUUCCUUUUGAGGUGUACCACGUGACCCACUGUACUAAUGUGUGUGUGUGUGUGUCAACCUCCCACCCCCGCCCCCUCCCCUCCACGCACACUCACUAUUCCUUUGUGAUCACGUGACCAAGUGUGCGUAUGCUAAUAACCACCGUAACGUCACAUUAAACCAGUGACCUGGUUAAGCUCCUGACGAGAGAGAGAGAGAGAGAGAGAGAGAGGGAGAGAGAGAGACGGAGAGAGACAGAGAGAGAGAGAGAGAGAGAGAGAGAGAGAGAGAGAGAGAGAGAGAGAGAGAGACCCCACAGGCUACAGAGAGAGAAGGCGGGAUAGAGACAGACUGAAGUGGAAGAGAGAGAAAAGAAACAAAGCAUACUCCCUCCCUCUCCUCACAAACAUAGGCCUACUCACGCGAGCACACACACCGUGUGCAAGAGCAGCAGAGUGGAGCGUAGCUAAGCAGAGGAGAAUGGGCAGUUCUCUGAAUCAGAGAGAUACACACUCUCCUCUCACCAAGACUAACAGAGGAGAGAGGGAGUGAGAGAAGGAGGGAAGACAGGACUGGGACUACUCAUACCCACUCUCUCACACAAACACACGCUAGCUCGCGAGAGCUGCUUCUAGGCUGGAUGCGAAUAGAAGUUCUCUCUCUACACACACUCACACACUAACACACACACACACUGAGGGUUGUGCCAUGGUGGUGCAGGGGGCUGUAACCCCGGGUAGGACCCGCAGACUCAUGCUCAAACUACCGGUGGGAACGUUACGAAGGAACAGUGGAGAGAGGGAAAACCAUUACAGAAUCACCCACCACAACAGGACCAAGCGGCGUAACGGGCAACAGCAGCGAAAAGAGGAAUGGACAUGGGAGGACGGUUUGGACGGCAAGAAUAUGGACUAUACUACUUGGGAGGAAAUAGACAGGUGGGCGGUCGACCCAGGGAGAGUGCCGGAGCCCGCCUGGCAACAGCAGCGAAAAGAGGAAUGGACAUGGGAGGACGGCAAGAAUAUGGACUAUACUACUUGGGAGGAAAUAGACAGGUGGGCGGUCGACCCAGGGAGAGUGCCGGAGCCCGCCUGGCAACAGCAGCGAAAAGAGGAAUGGACAUGGGAGGACGGCAAGAAUAUGGACUAUACUACUUGGGAGGAAAUAGACAGGUGGGCGGUCGACCCAGGGAGAGUGCCGGAGCCCGCCUGGCAACAGCAGCGAAAAGAGGAAUGGACAUGGGAGGACGGUUUGAACGGCAAGAAUAUGGACUAUACUACUUGGGAGGAAAUAGACAGGUGGGCGGUCGACCCAGGGAGAGUGCCGGAGCCCGCCUGGGAUUCGAUGGAGCAGUGCGCGGAAGGUUACAGGAGAAUGAGGUUAGCGAAGCAAGCACGGCGGCGCGGACGGAAGCCCGAGAGUCAGCCCCAAAAAUGUAUUGGGGGGUGGCACAGGCGGAGUGUGGCAGAGUCAGGAGUCAGACCUGAGCCAACUCCCCCCGUUUAUCGUGAGGAGCCAAGGAGGAGCUCAGAACCAGAGCUGGUGUUGGAGGUGAGCGAAGCAGAGACUGUGAAGGAGUUAAUGGGGAAAUUGGAGGAGAGAGAUAUGAGGGAGUUGCUGUGUUGGUGCAUGAGGCACGACAUUCGCCCGACGGAGCAUGUCAGGGAUUUAAUGGCACCUGGGUCAGCUCUCCAUACUCAUCCUGAGGUGCGUGCUAGGGGUCUGGUGAAGACUGUGCCAGCUUCACGCACCAAGCCUCCUGUGCAUCUCCCUAGCCUUGCACGUCCUGUGCCAUCUCAGCACUACAGUGCUCCUAGCAGUGCUAACCGUGGCGGGCGUGGUGCUGGUCAGGCACCGUGUUAUGCGGUGGUUCGCACGGUGUCCCCAGUACGCGUGCUUAGCCCGGUGCGCUACAUCCCAGCUUCCCACAUCUGCCGGGCUAGGGUGAAGAUCCAGCCAGGGCGGUUGGUGCCAGCCCUGCUCUCAAGAUCUCCAGUACGCCUUCACGGUCCGGUCCAUCCAGUGCCACCUCCACAAACCAGCCCUCCGGUGGCAGCUCCCCGCACCAGGCUUCCUGUGCGUGUCCUCGGCCCAGUACCACCAGUGCCAGCACCACGCAUCAGGCCUACAGUGCGUCCCGCCUGUCCAGCGCUGCCGGGGCCUUCCUCCUCUCCAGCACAGCCGGAGUCUCCCGCCUGUUCGGCGCUACCAGAGCUCCCGCACCUCAGUCCAGAGGCGCCAGAGCUACUCAGUCCAGCGCUGCCAGAGCCUUCCUCUCCAGCGUUGCCGGAGCUUCCCGUCUGCCCAGCGUUGCCGGAGCCUCCCGUCUGCCCAGCGUUGCCGGAGCUUCCCGUCUGCCCAGCGCCGCCUGAGCCACCCGUCUGCCCAGCGCCGCCUGAGCCACCCGUCUGCCCAGCGCUGCCUGAGCCACCCGUCUGCCAGUGCCGCCCGUCUGCCCAGCGCCGCCAGUGCCGCCAGUCUGCAAGGGGCCGCCAGUGCCGCCAGUCAGCCAGGGGCCGUCAGUGCCGCCUGUCAGCCAGGGGCCGCCAGUCAGCCAGGGGCCGCCAGUGCCAACAGUCAGCCAAGGGCCGCCGGUGCCACCAGUCAGCCAGGGGCCGCCAGUGCCGCCAGUCAGCCAGGGGCUGCCAGUGCCGCCAGUCAGCCAGGGGCCGCCGGUGCCGCCAGUCAGCCAGGGGCCGCCGGUGCCGCCAGUCAGCCAGGAGCCGCCGGUGCCGCCAGUCAGCCAGGGGCCGCCGGUGCCUCCAGUCAGCCAGGGGCCGCCAGAGCCCCUCAACCC
ensembl:lncRNA